GAUGAACGCUAGCGGCAGGCCUAAUACAUGCAAGUCGAACGAUACCAGAGAGCUUGCUUUCUGGGAAAGUGGCGCACGGGUGCGUAACGCGUAUGCAACCUACCUUAAUCAGGGGGAUAGCCUCUCGAAAGAGAGAUUAACACCGCAUAACAUCAUUUUACGGCAUCGUAGAAUGAUCAAAUAUUUAUAGGAUUAAGAUGGGCAUGCGUGACAUUAGCUAGUUGGUGAGGUAACGGCUCACCAAGGCUACGAUGUCUAGGGGAUCUGAGAGGAUGACCCCCCACACUGGUACUGAGACACGGACCAGACUCCUACGGGAGGCAGCAGUAAGGAAUAUUGGUCAAUGGAGGCAACUCUGAACCAGCCAUGCCGCGUGCAGGAAGACGGCCCUAUGGGUUGUAAACUGCUUUUAUACGGGAAUAAACCUCUCUACGUGUAGGGAGUUGAAUGUACUGUAAGAAUAAGGAUCGGCUAACUCCGUGCCAGCCGCCGCAGUAA
rnacentral:rRNA from 1 species